GCCUGGGCAGCUCAGUUGGUUAAGCGGCCGACUUUGGCUCGGGUCAUGAUUUCACGGUUCAUGGGUUCGAGCCCCAUGUCAGGCU
rnacentral:tRNA from 1 species